UACGAUAAACAUUUUUUUAAAACACAAUCUUCAGGUGGUCAUUUUCUUACUCAUACUGGAGAGAAGCCUUUUAAAUGUAAUGUCCAUCAAAAGAAAUUUGAAAAUAAUUUGAAAUGACAUUAGCUUGUACGUUUUGAAGAAAAACCUUAAUACAAUAACUGUGAAAAGAAUUUCUUCAGGAAAAUGGAUUUGAUACCUCGUGUCGACUCAUACAGGUGAAAAACCGCUUGAAUGUAAUAUGAGCCGGGCACAAGUUACGGAAAGCAAUAGUUAAUACACUGUAUACUAUGACAUUUCAGCCCCUAUUGCGAGAAACAUUUUUUAAAACACAACCUUCACCUUUCUUACUCAUACUGGAGAGAAGCCUUUCAAAUGUAAUGUUCAUCAAAAGAAAUUCGAAAAUAAUUUGAAAUGACAUUCGCUUGUACAUUUUGAAGAAAAACCUUAAUACAAUAACUGUGAAAAGGAUUUCUUCAGGAAAAUGGAUUUGAUACCUCAUGUGUCGACUCAUACAGGUGAAAAACCGCUAGAAUGUAAUAUGAGCGGGGCCAAAUUAUGGAAAGCAAUAGUUAAUUCACUGUAUACUAAGACAUUUCAGCUCCUACUGUGAGAAACAUUUUUUAAAACAAUCUUCACAUGGUCAUUUUCUUACUCAUACUAGAGAGAAGCCUUUUAAAUGUAAUGUUCAUCAAAAGAAAUUUGAAAGGAAUUUGUAAUGUCAUUCGCUUGUACAUUUUGUAGAAAAACCUCAAUACAAUAACUGUAAAAGAAUUUCUUCUGAAAAAUGGAUUUGAUACCUCAUGUGGUGACUCAUACAGGUGAAAAACCGCUUGAUUGUAAUAUGAGUGAAAACAAGUCUAUAUGAUUGGUGACAAACUUUUUCCUAUUAGGUAAUUAUCUCGCAUGUUCACUGACGCUUCUAAUGAAUUAGUAUCCAUUGAUUUCGAUCGUUUCAAGAAAUGUAGUUUGAGAAUUAUUUGUAUGUAAAACUUAUAAAAUAUGAUGAAAAUCAAUUAUAACGUUUUUAAAAACACUUUAA